UCGGUUACAUUGAUCGAACCG
rnacentral:snRNA from 1 species